UCCCUGUUUUUGAGCAGCUUCUUCCCCGUCUUUUGCAUUGUUGCUUUGGAUGUACAUGGCAAUCACAAAUGGGGGGAGUCAUCGGGCUUGGUGCUUUGGUUGGGAAAGUCACCGUUGAAACUUUGUGUGCUUUUCAAGUUCGUAUUGUGCGUGGACUUGUUUUUGUUCUGAAAAGACUUCCUGUUUAUGCCACUAAAGAGCAGGAGGAGACCAGCCAGGUGCUUACACAAGUUCUUCG
rnacentral:misc_RNA from 1 species